AACGCCCCACGUCCGACGCAGUGACGUUGGUCCCAAAGCUCUACUGGCCAGUAGGAGACAGCAGCUCUCCUCAUUAGCAUAACGAUGCAGCAGAAAAACAGCAGCAGAAAAGGGAGAAGCAAAAAAAGGCAAAGCAAAAAUAUCUGGUUUUCUUGACGGAAACUCAUGUGUAAGGAAAAACUAAAUAUAUAUUUAUGCUUUUAUUUAUAUUUUUAUUCUUUUAUUUCUUAUUAUGUCGGUUUUGGUGCUCCAUAAUCUACCGUCAGAGAGGAGAGAUGGAGAAGUUUGACAGUGAAAAGAAAAAACGGCAUCAGAGGUCAGUAACGCAAGAAUGACGAAGUUUAAAGUUUAAAGUUUAAAGUUUAAUUCACACCAAGUCAUCUGAUCUCAAACUGGUUUCUAAACUGGGAGGAUCAUCAAUAAACUGGAUCUUAGACCAUCAGAGCCACUGAAACCCCAUCAUCAUCAUCAUCAUCAUCAUCAUCCUCAUCACCAUCAUCAUCCUCAUCAUCCUCAGCUGUUUCUGGUUCGCUGCAGCACCGACUCCCUAUCUUCAUCUGGUUUCUCAGUCAGAAAUCGCCUCACUGACUGAACCUCACCUUCAGCAACAACCAGUAAAAUGUUUCUCUCGGGCUACUCCCACCACUGCUGAGCUCAGCCAAUGAGAAGGCUCGUCUCUGCACAGCUCAAAGCAGCUUGAUGAUGAUGUUAGUUUUCCUUCUGCUGCAGUGGAUCAUCUCUGUUCAGCUGCUGUCUGACCUGAACUCCUGGAACAUGUUGCUUUCCCUCCUGCUCUUCUCUCUCUACAUAGCCAUGGGCUCCAUGAACACCGUCACACAGGAGCAGAGGGAACACGUCGCUUCAGAGGGAAGCCACACCGGUUUGAGCUGCGGAUAUGAUGGUUCUAUCUAUAAUGUCCAGUGGUACCGACAGCAGCAGGGAUCCAGACCAGAGUUCCUGCUCUACAUCACAGAGACGGGAUCGAUCCAUCCAACUCGCUCCGAUUUCUCAGCUGACAUCGAUAAAACUCAGAAACGAGGAAAUCUGCUGAUCUCCUCUGCUGCAGUGACAGACUCUGCUGUGUACUACUGCGCUGUGCAGCCCACAGUGACAGGAAACACCAGAACCCUGUACAAAAACCUGCAGUACUCCACAGCGGCCACUAGAGGGCCUCACUCCCUGUUAAACUACUAAAACCUGCAGUACUCCACAGCGGCCACUAGAGGGCCUCAGACUGUAUUUCCUCAGGUUUCUCUGUAGAAACUUACUGAACUUCUUGACAAAGCUGCUCCUGCUCCAGUUUGUCCAGCAGAUCUAAGUGAAUGGGAGGAACCGUUCUAAGCUGCAGGUUGAUGAGCAUCUGGACGUCUGCUGGCCCCAACAAGCUGCCAUGAUGCACAGAAACUUAAGCCUCCAGACUUAUUACCAAAAUUAACUUUAUUAAACUUGGUAUUUAGAGUCUUUAUUAAUAAUACCAAUAAUUAAAAUUAAAUCUAUUUUGAUUUUUUUCAUCUAAAAUUUAAUGCAAACUGAUGGUCUUUUGUUUAUAAUGUUUAAUAAAGUUUAAACAUAAUCCAAGGUCUCUUAAAGUACUUAAGGCCAUUUUUAAUCAACAUGUAAAUAAUGAUUUAACAUCGUUAGCCUCCUCUGUACUUGUAUUGCUGUGUUCUUUAUUUAUCUCUUAUUUACCAUUUUGUAUUUAAAAUGGAUUUAUGUA